AAGCGUGCGCAGGCGGUUAUAUAAGGACAGAUGUGAAAUCCCCGGGCUCAACCUGGGAACUGCAUUUGUGACUGUAUAGCUGGAGUGCGGCAGAGGGGGAUGGAAUUCCGCGUGUAGCAGUGAAAUGCGUAGAUAUGCGGAGGAACACCGAUGGCGAAGGCAAUCCCCUGGGCCUGCACUGACGCUCAUGCACGAAAGCGUGGGGAGCAAACAGGAUUAGAUACCCUUGU
rnacentral:rRNA from 1 species